CUGAGAAGGGGUCAUCCAUUCAGUGUCCACUUCAAGAUCUUCAGAGAGGGAAGAAGCCAUUGUCCCUGGAAGCAGCUCACUCCUUUUGAAAAUUGAUUUGAAAGGGAAAGAACUAGGACCUAAGGAGAAACAGGAAAGAUUUUACAUGGAAGAUGAUAUUUGAACUGCAUUUUGAAGAGAAGGAUUCUCUCAAGUGGAGGUGAGGUGAGAAUGUAUUUCAGACACAAGGGGCAAUGUUGAAGGGCAAGAAGAUAAGAGAUGGGAGUACCACAGGAAGAAUAAAGAGAUGGUCAAUAUGGCUGGAUCUCAGAGUAUAAAAGGGAAACAAGGUACAGUGAAGCUGAAGUGACAGUCUGAGAACCAGCUGUGAAGGGCUUUGAAAAAUAAACAGAGCUGUUUAUACCUUACCCAGGGGACAACAGGAAGCCACUGGAGUUGAAUAAAUAAGAUGCU